UACGUAGGUGGCGAGCGUUGUCCGGAUUUAUUGGGCGUAAGCGCGCGCAGGUGGUUCGCUAAGUCCGGUGUGAAAUCUCCCGGCUCACCUGGGAGGGUGCGCUGGAGACUGGCGGACUGGAGGCAGGCAGAGGUCGGUGGAAUUCCCGGUGUAGUGGUGAAAUGCGUAGAGAUCGGGAGGAACGACCAGUGGCGAAAGCGGCCGGCUGGGCCUGUCC
rnacentral:rRNA from 1 species